UCCCUCCUCGUUGUUGGUUUGUCCAGUCUGCGGUUCUUCUGCACAAGUGAAGAAGCAAGCGUCCAUGACAGCAACACUGGGAAAUGGCCCUCCUAGUGAAGCAGGAAGUAGUUAACAAACUCACCUGCCGCUGCUGACUUUUCCACCUGUUCCCCCUCAUUGUUGGAUCCAUCAGCCUGCAGUUCUUCUGCACAAAUAAAGCAAGCGUCCAUGACAUCGACACUGGAAAAUGGACUUCCUAGUGAAGCAGGAAGUAAUCAGCACACUCACCUGCAGCUUCUGACUUUUCUUCGUCGUUUUCCGAUUGUUCAGUCGUAGCCUCCGUCUGCUGAUCUUCUGCACAACCCGAGAAGCGAGCGUCCGUGACUUCAACACCGGAAACGGACUCGAGGUCGUAGCCUCCGUCUGCUGAUCUUCUGCACAACCCGAGAAGCGAGCGUCCGUGACUUCAACACUGGAAACGGACUUGAGGGCGAACUCUCUAGAAGACUGCUGCUCUUCUGCUAAAAUGAAGAAAAAAAGCAUCCAGACAUCAACACUGGAGGUGGACUCCAUCUUUGAG